GAUGAACGCUGGCGGCGUGCUUAAUACAUGCAAGUCGAGCGAACAGACGCGGAGCUUGCUCCUCUCACGAUAGCCGCAGACGGGAGAAUAACAUGUGGAUACCCUACCUAUAAGAGUGGGAUAACUACGGGAAACCGGAGAAAAUACCGGAUAAUCUAUUGAACCGCAUGGUGCAUUAGUGAAAGACGGUUUUGCUGUCACUAAUAGCUGGAUCCGCGCCGCAUUAGCUAGUUGGUGAGGUAAAGGCUUACCAAGGCAACGAUGCGUAGACGACUUGAGAGGGUGAUCGGCCACACGGGAGCGGAGACACGGACCAUACUCCUACGAGACGGAGCAGUAGGCAACCUGCCGCAGUGGUGGAAAGCUUUGCGGAGCGACGCGGCGUGUGAGAUGAAGGUCUUGCGAGCGUGAUACUCGGCUAUUAGGUGUGAACAGAUGUGUAAGGUACUAUGCACGGCUUGACGGUACCUAAUCAGAAAGCCACGGCUAACUACGUG
rnacentral:rRNA from 1 species